AACAUGCAUGAGAAUAUGAACGUGUAUCAGCGCGUCUAGCUGUCUUUCAUUUUCUGAUUACCACUUGCUGGAUAACGUUUGGCUCUCAUGAUGUCGGAUCGGUCGAACUCGUCGUCCAUGAUGGCAAAUUCAGACAAAUUUCCUCCCAUCACCAAUCACUGGCUGGAAAAUAGACUUGGGGCCAGACUCCAAAUUUCAAAUUUAGUCACACUGACGACGGGCAAUUCACCAACUAGAAAACAUCGUCAGCUGAUUGGCCCUGGCGAUUUUGAAUGCUGUGAUGAAUGUCAAUAUUUUCUAACAGUGGAUAGAUUUUGGCUCGAAAGGCCUUCAGCCAUUAAGGUAAAUGCAUUGUGAGGAGUCCGUUGCACACUAAUUCCUGUCUAACUUGAUGAACGUCAGUCAGAAAUAAUCUAAUCCUACCCCAAAGGUGUACUAAUUGUCAUGCUCAUCCCUCGAAACUGUUUCCGAUUCUACAAAACGAACAUGCGACAAUUUAAUUUGAAUUCAUUCAUCCCAAGGUUCAAAAAUAAACAAUCCCAUGCUAGCGUGUUCACAUGACACGCCUCAUUUCCAAUGGUUCAGCCAAGCUCAAAGAUUCGAGCAUUCCAGGGGGCAAAUUCGCCCAAAUCCAAAACUCAUCAUUUUGAAUAUUGAAGUUGGCAAUUGCAUGCAAGAACAACCUCGAACUCGGAGCCUAGACGCAACUGCUAAUCUGUCUCAUAUACAGAACAUUCGAUUUCUGAAGAUGAAAUCCGGGCACUUGGAUCAAUGGCCUGCUUGCAUGGGUCACAAUGACAUCCUCGUCAUGCUGUUUCUCUAUUUUGGAAUACUAAACCUGGCGAUUGUGAAGUGAAGUGAUUGUGGCUCCUGGUUAUUCCUCUCGAGGAUUAAUCAUCAUCCCAUGCACAAUGCAUCAAAGUUCAUUAGCAAAAACUUGACAAGAAUAUUGGCAAUCCGUGUGGGUUUUGAGACCAUGAUAGCGAAGACCCCACCCAAUCACCCAAACCAGCCACAACCUCCACAAUGGUUGGUAGAUGUCCUGAUUCAGGGGGACGAGCUAACACGCCAAGAGAUAGUCUACAUUGAUGACAGAAAUUCUGGGCUCACCAACCAACCAACCAACCCCCGACCCUGCCCUAAUUACUCCCAAGAUCGAUUGAAAGUAUUUUGGAUAUUUGGCUACAAGUGGCAAAGGAACCAUAUUUAAGUUCACGUUCCUCAUAAACAGUCUGAAAUGGU